GAUGAACGCUGGCGGCGUGCUUAACACAUGCAAGUCGAACGGAAAGGCUCCUGCUUGCAGGGGUACUCGAGUGGCGAACGGGUGAGUAACACGUGGGUGAUCUGCCCUGCACUUCGGGAUAAGCCUGGGAAACUGGGUCUAAUACCGGAUAGGACGAUGGUUUGGAUGCCAUUGUGGAAAGUUUUUCGGUGUGGGAUGAGCUCGCGGCCUAUCAGCUUGUUGGUGGGGUAAUGGCCUACCAAGGCGUCGACGGGUAGCCGGCCUGAGAGGGUGUACGGCCACAUUGGGACUGAAAAACGGCCCAGACUCAUACGGGAGGCAGCAGUCGAGGCUAUUGCACAAUGGGCGCAAGCCUGCUGCAGCGACGCCGCCUGGGGGAUGACGGCCUUCGGGUUGUAAACUCCUUUCGCUAGGGACGAAGCGCGAGUGACGGUACCUGGAGAAGAAGCACCGGCUAACUACGUG
rnacentral:rRNA from 1 species